UUACUGAGGACUUGCUGAUAUUUCUUACCAGAUGUUACAAUUUGCCUUUUGCUUUUUUCUAGGUAGGUUAUUUCAUCAAUAGUGAAAAAUUAUAGUUUUAUGUCUUCCUCUUUCUAUCAUUUUCUUUCUUUAAAACAAUGCAUGUAAAACUUCCUAUAUCAAGUGUAAUUUCUGCUGUAGGUUUUUAAUAUGUAAUUUUUCCAGGUAAAGAAAUUUUCCUAAGAGUUAUUUUUAACCAGAAUUAUAUACUGAACUUCAUUGAAUGCUGUAGUGGGUUUCAUGGUGGCUCCCCCCAAAAUAUGUCCAUAUCUUUAAUACCUGAAUCCUCUAUAUAUUACUUUAUUUUGAAAAAUAGUCUUUUCAGAUGUAAUUACAUUAAUGAUCUGAAGAUAAGAACAUCCUGGGUUACUGAGGUGAACCCUAAAUACAAAAGCAAGUGUCCUUGUAAGAGACAGAAGAAAACACAGAGAAGAGGACAGAUCUAUGUGAAGCUGGAGGAAGUGGUCAAAGUGAUACAGCCGUAAGGAAUGCUGACAGACGCCAGAAGCUGGAAGAGGCAGAGAAUUCAUACUGUUGAUAAAUUAUUGUGAAUAAAUGGAGUAAAGCAAAGCCUUUAUGUGUGAACAAGUUACUCAAGAUCAGAGAACUCAUACAGGUUACUACAAGAUAUUGAAUAUAAUUCCCUGCA